CCUAGGUUUCAUUCGCUCGCACCCACCAAUCUUCCGAAAACCUCCCGACCCCCUCUCAUAACUUCUCAUCUCUCGCCUUCUCCAUCCAACUCCUCCUCUCACGCCCUCUCGCCUUCAUCUCGCCUGCCACCGCUGCCCUCGUUUCCGCGCAAGGGCAACUCACGUACGACUCCACCUCCUCCUCUGCGUCCGCUCGACAGCUAAAGUGGUUCAAUAUUAGAGAGGGUUGUCUUGUAUUUGAAGGCCUCUUCGAGUUCUACCAGGCCUCCGCUGACGGCUCCAUCGGCGCCGCCGUGAAGAUCAACCGCGAAGAUGCCACCAUUGCCAUCAACUGGGCUGACGGACUACACCACGCCAAGAAGUGCGAGGCCUCCGACUUCUGCUACAUCAACGACAUUGUCCUCGACAUCCUUGAUCUCCUUAAGUACCACAGGAAGCUCCAUCGACAUGAGGACGUUCUCACAAGGCGGCGACGAUCUUUUUGUUAGCCUUGUUGUAGCUCCUGACAUCUGUAAGCACACAUCAAAAUCUCUCCUUUCCUCUUGUUUUUAUCAGAAUCAAAAGGUUUCAGAACAACAAAUUCCAAAAAGUAAUCUAAGAGGUUCGUGAAGAUCAUAGUCAUUGCUACAACUUUGGCCAUCCUUUUAUUCUUGAUCGUGUCUGUGUUCAUUUGGUGGAGAAGGAAAAGAAUCAAAAGUAUGUAUGCUCAACCACUCAUGUUAAAUAUUGCCGACUAGGUGUAUGAUAAAAUGUCCUUAUGAGUUAUACUUGUUGAUUGGUAUUUAUUUUUCACAUUUAACUACUACUUUCACAUUUAACUACUACAUUUAGAUGUAAGUUUGUUCAAUGACACAUACUCAUUUGCAACACAAAGCAAAGUCAUCGAGGUGAACAAGAAAAAAAACAUCACCUGGCAAAGUGACAAAGAUCACAAAUUUGGCAGUGAUGUCUACCCUAAAUACUUCCAGCAGGGUGGUCUCAUAUGAGGUGCCAAGCUUUGAGCGAGCAAGAAUAUCUCAUUGUUUGGAUGAGGACAGCUGCCUUGCCAUAGUUUAGAAAACUCUAUGGGAGAAUUGAGAGAGACCUCGCAGCCAAUGAACAAAUCUCAAUGACAAUAGAGAACAACUACAACACUUACAAUUUUGAAGGGGAGAAGAGGUUGGUACUUUCUACUACCUCACGAAUAGGUGGGAAGAAUGGUUUCAUUGGUGUUGCAUAUCUUACAAUCGGUAGCCUUUGCAUAUUUCUUGUGGUAGCCUUCAUGGUUCUUUAUCUGCUCAAGCCUUGGACCCUUGGAGAUCCAUCGUACUCAUCUUGGAACAGAAACCCAGAUGGCCAUUAGUGAAACUUUAAGCUCAAGUUGCAUUCAAAAGUUGGUAAAGUUACAAAUUUAGUUGCUCUAAAUCAAAGUCUGCCAAUCAUGUGCAAACAAUUUUCUUUGAGAAUUCUGUAAUCUGUAACUUCAAUAGAGACCAAAGGAAAUACAAUGUUAGAUCGUUGUGCAAAUUGAACAGUCACAUCAUGUUGACAAUAGUAUCAUCAUUUUGGGAAUUAUGUACCUAGUUUUUAUGUACACUGUGUAUCUAUCUCUAAUAUAUAUAGUGUACUUGGUUUUGAUGUGUCA